GGUGCCGUACAGGUUGCCGUCGUACUCGCCGUGCUCCAGGAAGCGGCCGGCCUUCACGUCUACCUCCAUCUCUGUCCUGGAAGUGAAGUGUUGCGGAUCCCCAAGAAUGUUUUUGGAUGAGCUCUACAGCAGCCGGGAUCUCUUCGGAUCAGCGUAGUCCUUGCCUGUCAAUCAUGCCGCCAUGGAGGAUCCUGGCUAUAACGAGGUCGUCUUUCUCGACGCGAAAGGUGACGCCCUGAGAGGGAAAACGAAGAAUCUCAUCAGAUGAUCCAGGUGCACCUCCGCUGUCGAAUACGCGACUUUGGACACGAAUUGACUCCUCCCACCCGACCGCCCUUCCCCGCCUCUCGCCCGCCUGCCUCUGCCUCCGCGCCAACCCCAAUAGUCCCUCUAAGACCACGACCGCUUCGGAAAAUUGCAGGUUCACACCCUCCGUUAAUGACCACGAUUGGGAGACGGUGAUGAAUGGACAGGAGAGGGAGGAGCACCGAUGAUCCAUGUUCCAUU